rnacentral:SRP_RNA from 1 species
GCCGGGCGAGGUGGCGGGUGCCUGUAGUCCCAGCUACUCGGGAGGCUGAGGUAGGAGAAUCGCUUGAACCCGGGAGGCUGAGGUUGCAGUGAGCCAAGAUUGCGCCACUGCACUCCAGCCUGGGUGACAGAGUGAGACUCUAUCUCAA